GAAAAAACUUAAGAGACUCUUCAAUAUAGAAAACAAACAGAAGGUUACUAGAGGGGGUGUGGGAGGGGGGAUGGGCUAAAUGGGGAAGGGGCAUCAGGGAAUCUCCUCCCGAAAUCACUGUUGUACUGUAUGCUAGCUAAUUUGGAUGUAAAUUAAAAAAAAAUUUUUUUAAAAUAAAAAUCAGUUUUUAAUCCAUU